CGAGCCGACCGGGCGGUCGCGGUCGCUCAGAACGGUCGCCGUGACGGCGACACGCUGAGGAUCGAGGAAAGUCCGGACUCCACAGAGCAGGGUGGUUGCUAACGACAACCCGGGGCGACCCGCGGGACAGUGCCACAGAGAACAGACCGCCGACACCCGCCCUCGGGCGAGUCGGUGAGGGUGAAACGGUGCGGUAAGAGCGCACCAGCGCCGCGGGUGACCACGGCGGCUCGGUAAACCCCACCCGGAGCAAGGUCGAAGGUCGCACCUCGCGGUGCGACUGCGCAGGUGUUCGAGGGCUGCUCGCCCGAGCCUGCGGGUGGACCGCUCGAGGCACCCGGCGACGGUGUGCCCAGAUGGAUGAUCGCCCCCGAUCCUCGUGGUCGGGACAGGAUCCGGCUUACAGGUCGACUCGUUCG
rnacentral:RNase_P_RNA from 1 species